UUCAAAACUCUCUCUCUCUACUUAUACCACCAAUGUUUCUCUUCCUUUUCUCUGUGUAUUCUUUCAGUUUCAGGUAUGGCCCCCUUCUCUUCUUUCUUCCUUUUGCUCUUUCUCCUCUCUUUAUUCCCAGAACCCCUUCUUUCUAAUUCAGGCGUGAGGAAGCUCAAAGAAGCUUUUCCGAGAAGAAGACCAGAACUGUCGGCCGGUCUUCACCAGUGGAGAUCAAGAGGAGGACAUUGUUAUGGCAGGGUGCAAUUGCAUGAAGUGCACUCAGGACCCAAUCCAAUUAGCAAUGCACUGCCGUUGCAGCACACAGUGAGCGGUUUGGGUGAAACUCCAUAACACACCUCUGCCCUCUCACCAGAUCCUCGUCCACACAAGAAGCCAACCAAAAUUGUGUGUGAGAGAGAGGGUGCUGUAAUUGCUGUUGCAAGUGUCCGCAUAGAGAGAGAAGUCGGAAAAACAAAAAAAACAAAAAAAGAGUGGAUGUUUAGAGAGAGAUGUAAAUGGUGUGGCAAGAGUCAAGGAUAAGUGAGUAUUAUUGCUGUAGGUGUCGAUGUUUGUGAUGCGCCUAAAGAUGGCAAGUUGCUUCGUGACAAUCUUCUCAUGUCGUUUAACUC